rnacentral:rRNA from 1 species
UACGUAGGGUGCGAGCGUUGUCCGGAAUUACUGGGCGUAAAGGGCUCGUAGGCGGCCAACUAAGUCCGACGUGAAAUCCCAAAGCUUAACUUUGGAACUGCGUCGGAUACUGGAUGGCUUGAAUUCGGGAGAGGGAUGCAGAAUUCCAGGUGUAGCGGUGAAAUGCGCAGAUAUCAGGAAGAACACCCGUGGCGAAGGCGGCUCUCUGGGACGGUACUGACGCUGAGACGCGAAAGCGUGGGGAGCGAACAGG